rnacentral:misc_RNA from 1 species
GCGCCCAACUACACCAAAAUAGACUACUUCUCUCUCGAUGUUGAAGAUGUUGAAGAUGCGAUCCUAGACAACUUCCCGUUCGACCGCAUCACGGUGGACUUGUGGUACAUCGAACACCGCUACCCCAACACCAGCAUCAAUGAAAUGGGGCCUGGAGUGGAUCCUGUCUUCGUAUCUAAGUUCGAGAAGCGCGGCUACACGUUCGUCCCAACCGCUGCAGACUACGUCUUCAUCCACAACGACUCAGAAUACAUGACGAUGGCGGUUUACCCGAAGACUGUCGUCACGCGUGUGGUGACGGUGAUAAAGGAAGUUUUUACCGAGGUACCCAUAAUAUGAAGCAUUUCAUUCCAUUUGUAUGUUGAGAGAAACGAUUAGAUGAGGAAGCGUAUAAUUUUUCGUUAUCUUUACCUGAUCUGCUGAAAAUUUCAGUCUGAAAACAAGCAUAAUGUUUAAUUCAAUUGUGUUUACGUAAAUGAAGAUUUGAUCGGUUGCAGAUGUUUGGUCGAAUAUUUGUUACUAAUUUCAGUGUUACGUUAAUUUUUGUUUUC